AUAGCCAUCUCUUUAAGCUGAACACUAUCUGGCAUCUUAGGAAAAAACAUGCCAUUGUAGGAGUUAAUGGCACCUGUUUAGUCAGACUGAUAAAAGUGAAGCAAGUCGUUGUCCACAUGUGUAGCAUCCAAGUUACUUACCAGAACAUGCAAAACUGAACAUUCUAUACACCGCUCCCAGCUGCACUUUGCUAGAGAAAUAUAUGUGAAAACGGAAAGGCGUGGUAGCACCCGGGAGUCCCGACCCUCGGUUAUCCCGUGCGUUGAGCCCCGCCAAGAUUCGUGCCCUGUUACAAGCCACAGACCAUUUGCAGCGUAAGCGUGUCAGUCCAGUCCAUUUGACCAUUUUAAUAGCGGUGAUCAAUUCUUCUCGUGUGCUUGCCUAUUUCUGCAUUAGAGGUACACAUGACAGGCUUUCAAUUUUCCAUGAAAGAAAUCUGGAUCGAGGUGCUGGGUGAUAAUUAAUGGUCAAUUUGACGUCCGCACCCACCAAGCCACGCCAUAGGUUCUGCCCGUUCCUUUUUAAAAGUGACAAUUUCAGUGUAUGUUGCUGGAGUUUUUUGAUUGCUUCGCUUUGACGAGUAACAUGAUACAUGGGAAAAAAUAAAAAGGCAAAGAAGAAGCUAAAUCCUUCAUCCUGCGAAGAUAAAGACAAAAUAAAUAGUUUCAGGCCAAGUAAGCUUUGACAGAUUACCGGAGUUCUUUCUACAGCUUUUGGUCUGACAAAACAGAUGAAAUCUUGUUCAAGGCUAGCGAGGAAGUGCCCCAUGUAAACGAACAGGAAAUCUGCUUCUUACUGUCGUUGUUCUUUGGCUCUAUACAGGUUGCUCGAAUUAAGUCUUCCAUUCACCACCUAAAUUGAUCCUUUGUCUUCAUUCCGGUCAAUGGUAGCAGCAGCUCUCCUCAGGACAAUAAGUUAGCAUCCUUCAUUACAGUGCAUGUUCCGCACCAACUCAAAUUCCAUUAUCUGCAUAAUCCUAGGUCAUUGCACAUGUAAAUCUUAUUCCAACUCACCUGGAAUGGAUGCCAACCCCAAAUCAAACC
rnacentral:lncRNA from 1 species